rnacentral:tRNA from 1 species
GAGGGUAUGGCUCAAGUGGUAGAGUGCAGGUCUAGCAUGCAUAAUGUCCUGGGUUCAUCUCCCAGUACCUCCA